rnacentral:rRNA from 1 species
GGUUAAGCUGGUAAGAGCACACGGAGGAUGCCUAGGCGCUAGGAGCCGAAGAAGGACGUGGCGAACAACGAUAUGCCCCGGGGAGUCGUAAGCAGACUUUGAUCCGGGGAUGUCCGAAUGGGGGAACCCGGCUGCGGUUAUGCGUCCUCACUUCUGAAUCCAUAGGAAGUGAAGAGGCAGACCAGGGGAACUGAAACAUCUAAGUACCUGAGGAGAAAACAAUCGUGAUUCCGUCAGUAGCGGUAAGCGGAGGAGCCCAAACCGAGCUUUCACUGGGGUUGUGGGACACCUUAUACGGAGUUACAAAGGAGCAGAUUAGGCGAAGAGGUCUGGAAAGGCCUGCCUGCACAGAAGGUAACAGCCCUGUAGCUGAAAGUCUGCUCUCUCCAAGAGUGGAUCCCGAAAUUGCGGCGGGACACGGGAAACCCCGUCGGAAUCCGGCAGGACCAUCUGCCCACAAGGCUAAAUACUCCCUAGCGACCGAUAGUGAAGCAGUACCGUGAGGGAAGGUGAAAAGCACCCCGGGAGGAGAGUGAAAGAGAACCUGAAACCGUGUGCUUACAAGAAGUCAGAGCCCUAUGAUUUUCUUCGGGAAAUCAGGGUGAUGGCGUGCCUUUUGUAAAUUGAACCCGGCGAGGGAUUACGCUUGCAUGCAAGGUUAAGGUGAAGAGCCGGAGCCGCAGCGAAAGCGAGUCUGAACAGGGCAAAGCAUAAGCUUACGAAGUAGCAAUACUUUGUAUUGCUUGGAAGUAUGCAGGCGUAGACCCGAAACAGUGUGAUCUACCCCUGUCCAGGGUGAGGUGAGGUGCUGCCUCACUGGAGGCCCGAACCCACAGAUGUUGAAAAAUUCUAAGGGAUGAGGUGGGGGUAGCGGAGAAAUUCAAUCGAACUCGGAGAUAGCUGGUUCUCUCGAAAUAGCUUUAGGGCUAGCCUCAGGUUAGAGUGAUGGAGGUAAAGCACUGAUUGGGUGCGGGGCCCGCCAAGGGUUACCAAGUCUAGUCAAACUCUGAAUGCCAUCCACUCGGUGCCCGGAGUCAGACGAUGAGGCCAACUAGAUCCAUUGUCAAAGAGGGAAACAGCCCAGAUCAUCAGCUAAGGUCCCCAAGUGUGUGUUAAGUGGGAAAGGAUGUGGAGUUGCACAGACAACCAGGAUGUUGGCUUAGAAGCAGCCACCGGCAAGAGUGCGUAAUAGCUCACUGGUCAGUGACUCUGCGCCAGUAACGGGGCUAAAUACACCACCGAAGCUAUGGGGUCCCUAAUUAGGAGCAGUAGAGGCGUUCGAAAAAGCAGCAUAGAAGGUUGACCGUGAGGACAGCUGGAGCGCUUGGAAGUGAGAAUCACCGGUAUGAGUAACGAAAAGAUCAGUGAGAAUCUGAUCCGCCGAAAGCCUAAGGGUUCCUGAGGAAGGUUCGUCCGCUCAGGGUAGGAGUCGGGACCUAAGGCGAGGCCGAAAGGCGUAGUCGAAGGACAACAGGCAGAAAUUCCUGUACCACCAAACACCGCUAUGAGCGAUGGGGUGACACAGUGAGGUAGGACGCAGCUGAUGGAAGGUACUUGUCCAAGCAGUGAGGCUGGUGUGCAGGCAAAUCCGCACACGAUGAAGCCGGGCUGUGACGGGGAGUGAAAUAGCAGUAGCGAAGGUCUUGAUCUACACUGUCAAGAAAAGCUCUAGCCAGGUGCGGUGUAUGCACCGACCAGCUGGGGUAGGCGAGAGAGUCUCCAUAGGCGCGCGGAAGAACUCUCGUUAAGGAACUCGGCAAAAUGACCCCGUAACUUGGGGAGGAAAGUUGCCCCGAUAAAGUGAAUAUCGCUCGAGGGGGCGCAGUGAAUAAACCCCAAAGCGACUGUUUAGCAAAAACACAGGUCUAUGCGAAGCCGCAAGGCGAAGUAUAUGGGCUGACGCCUGCCCGGUGCUGGAAGGUUAAGGGGAGUGGUUAGGGCUUAAGGCCGAAGCUAUGAACCGAAGCCCGGUAACCCGGCGGCAAAAUGCUCUCAACGGUCCUAAGGUAGCGAAAUUCCUUGUCAGGCAAUUCUGACCCGCACGGAAUGGCGUAACGACUUGGGCGCUGUCUCAACGAGAGAUCCGGUGGUACCCCAAUACCUGCCAAUGAAGAUGCAGGUUACCCGCGACGGGCGAGAGAAGACCCCGUGGAGAAACUGCGCAGCUUGAUAUUAUUCGGACUUUGGUACGAUCUGUACAGGAUAGGUGAGCCUAAAGCCGGAGCGCCAGCUUCGGUGAGCAACGGACAGGAUACACCGCUCUGAUCGUAUCGAGGUUCUGGCAGGACCGUGAGGCGGUUCGAGAUGGUAAUCAGGUGGGCAGUUUGACUGGGGCGGUCACUCUAAAAGAGUAACGGAAGCUUUAAAGGUUUCCCUCGAAUGGUUGGAAAUCAUUCGAAGAGUGCAAAGGCAGAGGGAGAAACGGCUGCGAGACCUACAAGUCGAGCAGGGACAGAAUCGGGCUUAGUGAUCCCGGUGAGGCGCCGCAUGGAAGGGCCAUCACUCGCGGAUAAAAGCUACCCUGGGGAUAUGGGCUUAUGUCCCCAGAGUCCACAUCGACGAGGAGGUUUGGCACCUCGAUGGCUCGUAUGCAUCCUGGGGCUAAAGUAGGUCCCAAGGGUUGGGCUGUUCGCCAUUAAAGCGGUACGCGAGCUGGGUUCGACGUCGUGGGGCGUUCGGUCCCUAUUGUCGUGGGCGCAGGAAAUUUGAGAGGAGCUGUCCUUGGCCCGCGAGAGGACCGGAUGGACGGCGCUGGUGCGGGUGUUCCGCCAGGAGCACGGCUGGUGCUAUGCGGAAGGGAUAAGCGCUGACAUCUAAGCGUGAAGCCCGCCUCAAGAUGAGAUUUCCCAAGUAGUAAGACCCCUUGAGGCAGCGAGGUAGAAUGGGUUGGGGGUGGAAGCGCAGCAAUGCAUUGGAGCUGACCAGCUAAUCGAAUGAGGGUUUAUCUAA